rnacentral:lncRNA from 1 species
UACCAAACUAAUGCUACAUAAACAAAAGAGGUAUAUAGAAGCUCAACAUUCCACAUAAACAAGAAAGAUACAAAGGAUCAAGACCUAAUCCUAUAUUCUCACUCGGUAAGUUAAGUUAAAACAUGCCACCAUUUGCAACAACCAGUCAAUACUACUACUGCUGCUGCUAAUCCAAUCCAAAUUGUACAAACACUGAAAUGAACUAGAUUUAACAGCUUCAAUGGAAUAGCUCACUCCAAGCUUAGCACUAAUUUUCGCUCCAUUGCAUGUCCAGUCCUUUUUACAGUGACAGAUAUAAUCAGCAGCAUAGCCAACAGUAUGAUGACCACAAUCAAAAUUUUUUCCCUUCUACGGCUUUUUGCAAUUGUUUCUUCCAUCCGAUUCACCCUUCUCAGCAAACCCGGUAUAAUAUUCCUUCCUCUUGUACAAAUUGGUUCAUCAUGCCAUUCAAAAUAUUUACACCUGUCAGGUCUCUACAAAUGUAAUCCCAUUUAUAAACAUCAGCAAAGCACAGUCACAAUUCAAUUUGAGUUGAAAUAGUAACAAAACUAAAAAAUUUCUUACUGGCCAUCUUGAGCAACCAUAAAAUCAUCUCCCUGGAUUAUCAUCCCGCCAAUAUGUUGCCAUUUUUGGCCGCAAUCCACAACCACACAGCCGGGCGUUGCUGUUUAAUGACGAUGACGAUGACGACUCAAGAUUUCUAGAUCUCAUUUUAGGGAAAUACAGCCACAAUGCUGGGUGUUGCUUUAUGCAAGUUUCUAUGCAAGUUUCUACUUUAUUUCUUGGCAGAAUUUGAUUUGGAAGAGGGGAUUUGCUCUCGGCAGAAUUUUCAGAUGGAGCUUGAGCUUAGGCUUGGAAAUUUGCAGAGGAAGUCGUUGAAGUGAAAGGAAAAGGGAAAGUGAAAGGCAAGGGAAAGGGGAAAGUGAAC